GGUGGUGGGGUGGAGGACGAAAUGAUGCUAACUGAGGUUGAGGAAAGGAUUGUUGCUUUGUGUGGUGGUGAAAGCUUUUCCACAGGAGAUGCACAUUUAGGCAUUCAGCCGUUUCCGGUAAGAAAUUCAGAAAUGCAAUUGGUAAGUAAUACUAGAAACACUCUGCAAGGUUUGCUGUCGUUUUUACAGCACCCAUUUUUUUGUGGAUUAGACCCUUUUUAGUGUUAAGUGAAUUUUAUAUUAAAUUUACCUUCCUGUUUCAGGAAAAUGAUACGCCGUCUCCAUCACCCGAAGCACAACCUAUAUACAAUACUAAUGAUGACAACAUUAAUGUACCACAACAACAGCAGAGUCAGGCACGGCCUACUGAGGAAUCAGCAGCUAUUGUAUUUUAUGAUUCCGCCCUGAUUGAGG